rnacentral:ncRNA from 1 species
CGAAAUGCUUAGAUGAGGAUGAGUACAUAUCGCUUUGGAGCACAGAGAGCUGCUGGCCGGUGGAAAGCAGCGGAAGGAGGAUAUGGAACUGCCCUCGGAGCAUCUGUCCGAAAUGAAUGAGAGUAGGCGCAGACGGGUUCCCGCCGUUAAAAGGGAUGGAUAUAAGGCUCCCCGGGAGUCCGUAUCUCAGAGUGUAUGAGGAAACUCAUAAAUAAGAGUGGUACCGCGCAGACUAAUCGUCUUUCGUCUCUUGC